UCUCGAUUAGUAUAGUGGUCAGUAUGCCAGCUUGUCAUCCCUUGGAAGAAAACGCUGGAGACCGGGGUUCAAUUCCCCGAUCGAGAG